AGAAACAGUAGAACAUACAGUCUCUGCUAUCUUCCCUUUCUUAAAUCUGUAAUUAAAAUCUAUGUAUAUCUGCACAGAUGAGGAUGAAGCUCAAUUGCAAGGAAAUCACUGUUUCUGGAGGAACAUUGCUAUGAGCCAAGCCUUGGUGCUUCCAUUAGCACAGACUCCAGGACUGAUGCCACAAGGAAGCAGUAGAAGCUGUGCAGAGCUACGCAGCUCUCCAGGCAGGAUGUUUCUGUGGCCCAGCACCUCCCAUCAGCUGACAGUCACCUACAGGGGUGGUAAGGAGAUGCUGCAAAGCAAGGAGCCCUUCCCAGAGAUGGGAAAACCAGCUGGCCCAAGGAGAAGUGUUUCACAUGAUAAUGGCAUGUUUCUGGUCUUGAGAGGAACAGAGACCACAGCUUCCCCCCCCGCUGCGAACAAGUCCAGCUCCCUGAACUGAAGGGAUAUUAGGAAAUGAAUAGGCUUGUGGCUCUCUGCUUGAAUCCUCCUGCUGUGGCCCUUCCUGCCAUGCAUGUGUGGAAGCCAGCACGUGUUCAGAGGGACAGGUCAUAUCAGCUUCCCAGCUGUGCUGGAAUGACUUCAUGGAGAGCUGUGGACAUGCUCUGGAGGUGCAGCAAUUAGCCACAGCCAAGAUCACACUGCUCAUCCAGGCCUUCCAUGGCUGCCCUGCAGGCAGCAAUGACCUCCCUUGGUGUUUCAGCAUAGCUCUGCAUAGAUCUUUCUUCAAGCUGCUCUGUGGGAGCUGGAUGAUUCCCAAAAUGCCUGAACUCACCUCUCGCUGCACCAGCCACAUGUUUGCUCAGUAGGGCUGCUGAGGCACAUACAUGUGCUAUAGGGUGGGUCAAAAUUUCCCUCAGUGAUCACAUCAGCAAGAGAUGAGUCCUUGUGCAAUUAAAUCCUACCCUGCAAGAGCAGUCUAUAACCCCUGGACAGAGCAGACUUUGCUUCUGUUCCACUGAAGGGAGAGCAGCUCGUGGCAGAGCUUUUGCCAAAUGUUAAUUAGCUAAUUUUGACAGUCACUCCAUAGGUCAUUUCUGCUUUGCAGGCUGCUGGGGACGAGAAGGCCUUGCAGGAGCCACCAGAGGCAUGGGUGCAGUUUGUUGUGACUAGUUCCGAGUUCUGGGUUUCAGUCCUCAACUCUGUCUGCUUGAGCACAACAGAUUUAUCCCAGCUCGCUAUGUGAGCUUGGAUAAACUUGUUUUCUCUGCCUUGUCUCCCUGCGUGUGUGAAGGCACCCCCUCAGCCUGGAGCAGCAGGGCUGUGGUUCAAAGGCGGCUGGGCUCUGAGUCAGAUGCCUCUGCCCUCACACCGCCUCUGCUCCUGUAUGACCUUAGGCCAGGCGUUUAAACUUGUUGCACCACACGUGUCAUGGCAGAGGAACCUGAAAGAGCUCCUGCGAGGCUGUUGUGUCAGCACAGUGCAAUUUGGGGCAAUGCUCAUUUGCUCCGCUUUCUCCGGAUCCAGGUCCUGUGGCUUGGGUUUGGAGAUGGACUCAGCUUGGAUCUGCUCCUGGCUGGGGUUAGCCUCUCCCUGACCACAUCCAAGUACCCACGCACAGUCUGCACCCACUGUAUUUUAUUUUAUUUUAUUUUAAAUGCAAAAGCACAUGGACAGAAUAAAUCUGAACAAAACGGGGAGUCUUCCUUUGAG
rnacentral:lncRNA from 1 species